rnacentral:rRNA from 1 species
AUUGAACGCUGGCGGCAGGCCUAACACAUGCAAGUCGAGCGAGCGGCGGACGGGUGAGUAAUGUCUGGGAAACUGCCUGAUGGAGGGGGAUAACUACUGGAAACGGUAGCUAAUACCGCAUACCAUCAGAUGUGCCCAGAUGGGAUUAGCUAGUAGGUGGGGUAAUGGCUCACCUAGGCGCCGAUCCCUAGCUGGUCUGAGAGGAUGACCAGGCACCAGGGAAAGGAGAAACGGUCCAGACUCCGACGGGAGGCAGCAGUGGGGAAUAUUGCACAAUGGGAGCAAGCCUGAGGCAGCCAUGCCGCGUGUAUGAAGAAGGCCUUCGGGUUGUAAAGUACUUUCAGCGGGGAGGCGUUACCCGCAGAAGAAGCACCGGCUAACUCCGUGCCAGCCGCCGCGGUAAUAC